rnacentral:lncRNA from 1 species
CUUGUGACCUGGCAUCCUGGAGUUUGCCCAGCUGGACUUGUGACACUUGUCCAGUACCGUGCCCUGUGCAGCACUGACAUCAAUAUCCAUGUGUCCACCUAAGUGUUCACCCUCCAGGGGCUCAACAGGAUGGAACUGUUACCAUCGGGCUCAGCAGUGUGACAGGCUUUUCCUGACUCUACCACCUGGCUACAUUCACCUAUCAAGCUGGUCAACUCCUUCCUGUUGCUGGAACUAUUGAGAAAUCUGCUGGACUUCAUCUGGCCACUGGCGCAUGGUGACCAUAUGCAUGGGCAGGCCAGAAGUGCCUCAAAAGUGAUAACCUCAGAAACAACCUCAACCACUGGAGAACCAGAAUUCACGGAUAAAUUCCCCAGCUUCCUCACUCCUCUGCAAGGCACUUCUGAGGUGUGUCUCACACAGUCUCUCAGUGGGUUCCCAUCAGGAUUGAGCCCCAGUCACCCACAGAGGUAGCCCUCUCAUUAAUGAACCACUCAUCGGCUUUUCUCCCUUCCCUAUUACACUUCCGCACUCCCUUACUCUACUUCCUUGGGUCACCUCCAAAUAAACUACCUGCACUAAAAUUGCUUGUCUCAGAAUUUGCUAUUGGAAGAACCUAAACCAAGACACACAGGGAAAGCCCACAUCAUGAUAAAGCAGCCACAGCUUCAAACAUCAUUGGUAGGGCUAUCCCUGUUUAUCAGGAGACCUCACCAUAGACACCAUCAACUCAGAGCAGAGCAAAGUAGGCAGAUGCAAG